AUAUAUAUUGAGAAUGGCAAAAAUCACUUUUGUAAAAUAAUAAUCAGUUAUGCAAAUGAAUUUUCCACAACAUAAAACAGGGACACUAUGUGCAUGGCCUGAAGAUGCAGAAUGAUUUUCACGACCUGAGAAAAUCCAUCACUAGCAGAGGUAUGACAGUGAGGAUGUAUCAUGUGAUCUGCAAAAGAAUAUCCUGUUUUCCACUGCAACCCAAGAUAGAACUCUCCAAACAUCUGUGAAGCUUCAAUAUAAAGCCCCUUCAUCAUAAACAUGCUACUCCAACUCAGAUAUGAAAACAUCCCCUUCUGACUCUCCACAAACUUCACAAGCUAUGCUAAUGAGUAUCUUUUCUGGAGCGCAACAGGGAAGAUGUGCCAACCAUUAGGGAGAAGACAGGCAAUCCAAGGAGAGGUGAAAAGGUCUUCCGGUGAAACACUCCUCCAGGAAAUUACCAUGUUUUUUCUUCGAUAACAUAUGUUUUCUAGCUGAUAAACAACAUGCUGCUUAUUUAGUUUGUAACAUUUUGGUGGGGUGAAUUUUUAACCCUAUCUUAAGUUUAAGUUGUAACUAUGACUAAAAUGACUCAUAAAGUGAAACUGAUUAGUA